GGGUGCAGGGAGCGGGACAAACGGGGGGUACAGAGUGGGGCUUUGGCUGGUUUUUGAGGCUGCCCGGUGGGGAGGAAAAAGGUGGAGCGGCUGCAGCUCUGCUCUCCAGACCGCUGUGGGUGCUCGUUAGAGCCGCGGUGUUUGACCGGUCGGGAAAGGCCCCGUGAAGCCACAGCAGCCCGGCACAGGCCCGAGGAGCCCCAGCCCGGCGCGUCCUUCCCCCUCAGCUCCCGCACCUCCCGUCCGAGGCCUCCCUGGGGGACCCCCUAGAGCCCGACCCCCGAGGACGGGAGAGCCCCAGCCCCGCUCCAGCAGAGACAGCAGCGUCAAGAGGAAAUGAGAAAGUGAAACUCAACGAGUAGUGUCGGAAACUUCUCGAUAACCAUCGUCUUGGACACACCCUAACUCAGUCUUUCCGGACGCCAUCUUUUCCUCCCCUCAGAGCACAAGAGACACCCGAGAAGUUGGCGUCGGGUGUCGCGGCCCCGCAGUGGGUGUUUGCGGACAGCUCCCUUUCUCUGAGGGGGGGACAGUAAUGGGGGGCUGCUCACCUCGCUGAGCAGCCACCGAGCCCUGUGCCGAGCAGGAGCCCGGGCUGGGGCUGCUUUCAAGGAGAAGGGACGGCUUGCUGGGUGGGAGAGGGGUGGCUGGGGGCGAUCCUGCGGGGCGGAAAACACCGAUGACCCCACCUGCCACCCACGGAAAAAAAUCUUGUUCUUGCUUCCCAAGGAACCAGGUUUAGUGCAGACUCAUCGCAGCUCUCGCUCCCGCCCAGCCGACCAUGGGUAGGUUGGGUGACGUGGGGUGAGGGGCCUGGGCCCUGCAGUGGGACCGAUCGUGGGGGGCACGGGGACCCUGGGGUUUGUCCCUUCUCCCUUCUCCCACCACGUGUCUGCAGGGCUGAAGGAAAGCAGUGCUGGGAGAGCUGCUGCUGCCACCGGGCCCCUGCCCUGCCCGGCACAGGGCGCUGGGCUCCGGCCAGGAGGAGCUUUAGUGCCCACACUCCUGUCCAUCUGUCAUUUUCCUUCUUAGCCGUUUUACCGGUUGCCAUUGCAUUCUUUGUGGGACUCGCCAUAGGAGCUGUAAUUGUAGCACUGGCAAAUGAUAACACCAUGGACUUCUCUAUAAAUGCUGAGGGUGUACGUAUCCGUGUUGGGAAAAAACAAAAGGCCUGACUCUGCCCUGCAAGCAGCAGCAGCAGACACUGUGCUGUCUGUUAAAAGAACUCCUGGUGACCAUAGCAGUGAACAGAAGCAGAUUUCUUUCCUUUCAAGUAGCCUGAUUCAAUGUCUUCCCACUGCUGG
rnacentral:lncRNA from 1 species